rnacentral:lncRNA from 1 species
AACUAUAUUAUGAAAUACAUAAAAAAAAAAAAAUCAUUGCCUCAUCCAAUGAUCUAUUGAGCCAUGAAAAAGAUUCAACAAAUGAAAGAUGCUAUUACCUUGGUAUCAAGAGUAUUAGUAGGUAGUUAAUACAACUCUAGUUUCUGAUUGAGUCAAUUUGAUGCUCUGUACUCUUUUUUGUUCAAGUUAGUUUCCUUCUUAUCCAAGUCACCUCCUUCGGUCCAC